UUGCCCUUGGUCAGCUAAAGCGUUUCUCUUUGCUUUAUCUUUCAGAAGAAUGCUCCUGCCUUUUCAACUCUCACCCACAAAAGCUAAAGCGUCUUGCUUAGCUUCUCUCGCUCCAAGUUUUGGUCAAAGCCUAUAUUGUAAGGUGUCCAUGGCAGUCAAGAUUGACUUGAAUUUGCUCGAAGAAGAUGUUGAUGGUGUGAGUCAAGAUAACACUAAUAUAUUUAAGAGUGCAAGCUUUAUUUCGCGAGGGUAAUCAUGGAGCUAACGCUUUGGCAAAUCACGAUGUUCAGGGCUCUGGUUUCACAUGGUGGGACACUGCACCUUCAUUUAUUUUGUCUUCGUCAUCGGGACCAACUAGGCAUGCCCAGUUACCGUUUUACUUAGUCUCUUUUUGUUUACUCUUUCAGAGUUUUGGUUUCUUGGGUCCGCAUGUUGCUGUGCCUUUAUGUCACUAUCUUUCUUUUCUGUAGGGUUUUGGUUUGGUCCCUCUGCUGUACCUGUUUUCUUUAUAUGUUUCUUUUAUAUUAAUAAAAUUAUGAUCAAGUAGAUGGGCGGGGGGCUCCCGGAAUGUGUUGGUCCCUUC